ensembl:lncRNA
GGUAAAGACAGCCUACAGUGAUUCAGCGCCCGCUCCACGUGGGCCCACGCUGCAUCGGACCCCGGACUUUGCAGCCCUGGCCCCGGCCCCUCCCCCAGCUCUCCUUUCGGUCCCAGACCACUUGUCGCCCCUCAAGUCCCCUCUCUCCAUUUCUCUUCAUCUUCCGAUUGCAUUUACACCUUCGGUGCGAGUAUUCACCCAACGCCCUUUCUUUGUUUAGUAGCUCUCCCGACCCCCUGGCCCUCUUGUCCUUUUUUUUUCUUUUUUUCUUUUUUUAGCCCUCUGAGCUCUUGUCCUCAUGGCUUUCUCUUCUUUUGCUCUUUCUCCAUUACUUUUUUCUUUACCCAUCUUCUGUGAGUAAUCACUUCCUCCUCUUUUUGGCAUCUCUUCACCCUCCCUAUUUAAGACUUUAGUCCCACUCACUCUGCCCUUCUCUCUGAGCCCCUUCCUCCCGACCUUUUUCUCCCGGCCUUUUCUUCUCCCUGCUCCCCUCCCCCUAUAUUCCUCCCUUCCCCCAUCCUCAUCUUCAUCUCCCCUUGCCUCCCUCCCCUUCCCCCACUCCUUGUCUUAAAGCAGCCCGAGUUGAGCGCAGAGGAGUUGGGCCUAGAAGAAAAAACCAAAAAGACUUUGAGCAACGGUCGGCCUGAAGGCUUCGGGAAGGGAGCCAAGCGGGAAUCGCACGCUAAGAUUUCUCUGCAAUGCGGGGAUGGCACAAUGGACAGAUUGCAGAUUUUGAAAACAACUAAAAUUCAUUGAAGUUAGGUAACAAAUAAUAUACUUGUAGCUUAGUUUGAGUUUUCUAACAUAUGAUGGGUGCAGGAAAUCAAGACAUACAGGACCUGAAAUUUGAAGGUCAAAUAUUCCUUGAAAAGGGGAAUUUGAAAUCUGCUAAGAUGAAAAGUCCAGGGAAAAAUAGUUUAUGAUAAGUUUGAACACAAACAGUUGCCUUGUCAUCUUUCUGUUCAGUACUCCCUGUAUGCAGCUGCGAUGAUUGAAAAGCAUGUAAAUUAAUUUAAAAUUAAUUUAAAAGUUGCCAACCAGAUUCACUACAACCUUGAAUAAAACCAGCUAUUUUUUCCUCCAUUUAAAAUGUAAUUUCCCCAUUUGGAUUUUAAUGAUUGAUUUGGAAUAGAUUUUCCAUAUCUUUAAACAUGUUUACUUAAACAAGGAAUCUACACAGACUUCUUGCUGUCUGGUGCACUGCUAGCUGUUAAAAUGUCCCUCUUUUUUGCAUAGUGCGUUGGGGGAAAUUCAGGGUAAAAAAGUUCAGAAUACUGCGUGACAAAGUGAAGAGCAGAAAGCAGGACUAAUGACCAUGUUUUCUGGGGCCACAGGCACAGUGAAUGCACGUGAAAUGCUUGCUAUGCUGAGAAGAAACCACUGCUUGUGAAAAGUAGAGACCCUAAACUUACAUAUUUUCACAGCAUGCUUUCUCUAGUCCUUGUCUGAUUAAAUGACAAGGUCAUAUCAGUCAGUAAGUAAUCAGAAAAGGCCUGGGUUUCUAGAGAUUUUCAUUCUUAUAAGGUCUCUUGGCCCAUUUGUGUUUUAAAAUAGAAGGGGUUAAGUUAGGGAGUUACUUUUGGUUCGUUACUGUGCAACUGCAGCAUUGCAGGCUGUGUUGGGGGAGGAUGUUCUAGUUUGCUGAGUGAUGGGUUGUCUCUCAGGCAAGGAGAGCCCCUGUCUCCAGCUGCUGGGAGAGACAGGUGAUAGAGUGAGGGGACUGACUUGGGAAUACUGUAAAAACAGGAUUUUCUGGUUUCGGAUGGAUAAAUGAAAGAAAAGAGAAAGAAAAUUCUCUGCCCUUCUGUAAAGUCCUGCCAGUCUCCAGACUGGACUCGGCAAGACGUCCUCUGCUAGGACGGAAUGCGAAUUAUGUAGUAAUUAUGCCUUAGUUACUUAUUGCUUCCUGCUUUUGUUAAAAGAUAUAAAAGCUCUUGGCAGUUUCACCCUGCAUACAACAUUGAAAACACUUUCUGCAAUGAGAGCGAAUGGUUAAUGGGCAGGCUGCCGCUGUUAGUUUUCUUCAGGGCUUUGAAAAUGAGAUGACUCUGCAGAGAGACAUUUUCGAGGAAACACAUGUCUAACUUCAUAAUUAACCUGUUUUGCCUCGUAUCUAAACUAGCUCAGAAAUUGUUAAGCUUCCAGCUGGUUACAGAAGGAGGAAAGCAUUGCGUACAAACAAAAUAACGGCCAAUUACUCAGGCCAAAUCUAAUUAGUGCCUGUAGCUUAAAUCUGUAACUUCAAUGUCACAUGAAGUAUUGUUCGGUGUGGCUACAGCAGGAUAACCCAGAGAAUUACAACACUUGUCUUAUUAAGGAAAAAAGGUUCCUAUGACUUGAAAAUGAUUGAUCUGGUUCCACAUUUAGCAGAAUGUUUUAUUUUAUAUUAGAAUUUUCACUUUAAUCGCUCUUUCUGAAGGUGACUUGAAGGUUAUGCUUGUCAGGGAAUUUAGUAUAAAAACUUUUAAAAUAAGAGCUAUGGCAUUCAUUUCUCUCUCUUUGUCUCAUACUUUUGGAGAACAUUUACCACACUAAUAUUUUUCAUAGAAAGAAAUGUAAGGUUUUGCAUUUUUUACCCUAAUGACAUGACGGCUACGGACUCUUCUGAAAAUGUUAACAAGAGAGAAAAUAAGCAUGAGGAUUUAUCUGAAUUUACAACACUGUUGAGUUUGGCUAUGAUACUUUUAUAAUUUCUUCCAAAUAGGGAAGUUACACAUAGCAUUUAGAUGUAAGAUAUUUUUAAUGAAAUUCUCUCUGGAUUGUUGUACCAUAAGCUGCAGUGUGUUUUGAAUCACUUCAUGGGGGAAUACAGAGCACGCAUGUGUUCCUUCGGUGGGUAAAGUGCAAGAUUAACUUUGUAGUUGAGAUAGCGAUUUCGAGGUCUUAUCUAGUGAUAAUGGAGAAAAUAUCCUUUGCAUAAGAGGUUUAUUCACUGGGUCAAAAAAUAAGGUUAGAAAGAUAAGGAGUUGGGCAUUUUCUUUCUUCUUUCCGUAUUUCCUUACAUUUUAAAGAACACUUUUUUGAUGCACAAAGAUGUAAGGAGGAUGGGAUGUGGGAACCAGGCAGCAAGAAAGAUGCUCCGGAUGGAAGACACUGCUGUCAAGUUGGUAGGCUGAAUCUGUCUAAGAUUAGAUGAUCUGUCCUUUCUCCCAACGUGCUGUCAUGACUUGAACCUGAUCCUUUUGCUUGGGAUCUGAUUCUAGAACUCAUGAUGAAUGAUUAUUUAUAAAUUGUCCUUUGCUAAUUAUUUAAGAGGUUAUUGUUGUAGAAAGCUAGGGACUAGUGCCCUGGACUGGGAACAUAAAGAAAAUGAAAACUGUAAUACUUAUUUCUACAUGAGCCUUGGGAAGUCAUACUUUGAAAGCAGCUUUGACUUUUGGUCUUUUUGAUUUCGGAUCUUGAAAGCAAAAAAAAUAUCUUCGGGGAGAAAGGCUGUUUCUUGUCAGGAAAAUUGGGACGUACGUGUCCCUGUUGUCUUUAAUCAAAACAAGUCCACCUGAACCACAGUGUCCUUUUUCUAACACUAAGCUCUGAAAUGGUGUUUAUUUCCCUUGCCAAAUAUUUCUGUUCAUUGAAUAUUGCCUUCUAUUUCUGCCAAUGGCUU